AGGCAAUGAUGAUGAAACAUAUACCAUCAAACUAUGAAAGCCAUAAAGCUUGUUGAUGUUCUAAAUCAUUACUCUCUGAGCCU